CAAGAAUCAUACACAGCCACGCACGCGAAGGAAAGAUGGGGAUACGUUCCCAGGUAGACCCUUAUGCGAAGCGCCGGCCGUGGUAUGUUCAAACCCUCUGCAAAGAGACUUAUAUUAUUACGUUUCGUUCCCUCGGUGGGUCUAUGUCCGCCGAGCGACGUUUUCAAAAAAACUCUUGUUAAGUAUGUGCCGUCAGAGUAACGAUCAAAUCAAUUA
rnacentral:misc_RNA from 1 species